AACGAACGCUGGCGGCAGGCUUAACACAUGCAAGUCGAGCGCCCCGCAAGGGGAGCGGCAGACGGGUGAGUAACGCGUGGGAAUCUACCCAUCUCUACGGAACAACUCCGGGAAACUGGAGCUAAUACCGUAUACGUCCUUCGGGAGAAGGAUUUAUCGGAGAUGGAUGAGCCCGCGUUGGAUUAGCUAGUUGGUGGGGUAAUGGCCUACCAAGGCGACGAUCCAUAGCUGGUCUGAGAGGAUGAUCAGCCACACUGGGACUGAGACACGGCCCAGACUCCUACGGGAGGCAGCAGUGGGGAAUAUUGGACAAUGGGCGAAAGCCUGAUCCAGCCAUGCCGCGUGAGUGAUGAAGGCCCUAGGGUUGUAAAGCUCUUUCAACGGUGAAGAUAAUGACGGUAACCGUAGAAGAAGCCCCGGCUAACUUCGUGCCAGCCGCCGCCGUAACAC
rnacentral:rRNA from 1 species